GAUGAACGCUGGCGGCGUGCUUAACACAUGCAAGUCGAACGAUGAAGCCCAGCUUGCUGGGUGGAUUAGUGGCGAACGGGUGAGUAACACGUGAGUAACCUGCCCUUAACUCUGGGAUAAGCCUGGGAAACUGGGUCUAAUACCGGAUAGGAGCGUCCACCGCAUGGUGGGUGUUGGAAAGAUUUAUCGGUUUUGGAUGGACUCGCGGCCUAUCAGCUUGUUGGUGAGGUACUGGCUCACCAAGGCGACGACGGGUAGCCGGCCUGAGAGGGUGACCGGCCACACUGGGACUGAGACACGGCCCAGACUCCUACGGGAGGCAGCAGUGGGGAAUAUUGCACAAUGGGCGCAAGCCUGAUGCAGCGACGCCGCGUGAGGGAUGACGGCCUUCGGGUUGUAAACCUCUUUCAGUAGGGAAGAAGCGAAAGUGACGGUACCUGCAGAAGAAGCACCGGCUAACUACGUG
rnacentral:rRNA from 1 species